rnacentral:rRNA from 1 species
UACAGAGGGUGCGAGCGUUAAUCGGAAUUACUGGGCGUAAAGCGUGCGUAGACGGUUAUUUAAGUCGGAUGUGAAAGCCCCGGGCUCAACCUGGGAAUUGCAUUCGAGACUGAAUAGCUAGGGUGCGGUAGAGGGAAGCGGAAUUUCCGGUGUAGCGGUGAAAUGCGUAGAUAUCUGGAGGAACACCGGUGGCGAAGGCGGCAUCCUGGACCAACACUGACGCUGAGUGAGCGAAAGCCAGGGGAGCAAACGGG